rnacentral:rRNA from 1 species
ACUAGCAGUAAGAGUUUGAUCCUGGCUCAGAUUGAACGCUGGCGGCAUGCUUUACACAUGCAAGUCGAACGGCAGCACGGGGGCAACCCUGGUGGCGAGUGGCGAACGGGUGAGUAACACAUCGGAACGUACCCAGUUNUGGGGGAUAACCUACCGAAAGGUAGGCUAAUACCGCAUGAGCUCGAAAGAGGAAAGCGGGGGACCGCAAGGCCUCGCGCGACUGGAGCGGCCGAUGUCCGAUUAGCUAGUUGGUGGGGUAAUGGCCUACCAAGACCGCGAUCGGUAGCUGGUCUGAGAGGACGGACAGCCACACGGGGACUGAGAUACGGCCCCGACUCCUACGGGAGGCAGCAGCUAGGAAUCUUGGGAAUGGGCGAAAGCCUGACCCAGCAACGCCGCGUGAGUGAAGAAGGCCCUAGGGUUGUAAAGCUCUUUCGCACGCGACGAUGAUGACGGUAGCGUGAGAAGAAGCCCCGGCUAACUUCGUGCCAGCCGCCGCGGUAAUUC